UACGUAGGGUGCGAGCGUUGUCCGGAAUUAUUGGGCGUAAAGAGCUCGUAGGCGGUUUGUUGCGUCUAUCGUGAAAACCUGACAGCUUAACUGUGGGCUUGCGGUGGAUACGGGCAGACUUGAGUUCGGUAGGGGAGACUGGAAUUCCUGGUGUAGCGGUGAAAUGCGCAGAUAUCAGGAGGAACACCAAUUGCGAAGGCAGCUCGCUGGGACGUACUGACGCUGAGACGCGAAGCGUGGGGAGCAAACAGG
rnacentral:rRNA from 1 species